UCUCCGUUGGUGAACCAGCGGAGGGAUCAUUACCGAGUUAUCAACUCUCCAACCCCUGUGAACAUACCCAACGUUGCUUCGGCUUGAUCGCCCCGGCGCCCUCGCCGUCCCCGAACCAGGCGCCCGCCGGAGGACCCAAACUCUUGUUUAAACCAUAGUGGCAUAUUCUGAGUCUCACAAGUAAAAUGAAUCAAAACUUUCAACAACGGAUCUCUUGGCUCUG
rnacentral:misc_RNA from 1 species